UCUCUUUUGAGAGUUUAUAGAGACUGAUCUAAGCCAGGAGAAAACCCGCAUUCUAGGAACUGACUAAUCUGUUUUCGUUGUAACAAGUAUAACCAGUUGAUGAAUUUGACAAUUAUUGUUACAUUUUGUAGGUUCAUUGCCAUCUUGUCCUGACCCAGCUAUUGUUCUUGAAGUUCUAAAAUUCUCAUUGUCUCCCGAGGUUCGUUCCCAAGAUGCUAUAUUUGGAUUGGGUGUUAGCAAGGAAGGUCGUGAAGUUGCCUGGACAUGGCUCAAGGAUCGUAAAAAACUUUGGUGGAUUCCUGAUACCACGUUUUGUCAGUGCAGUUGUCUCGCCGUUUGCUUCAUUUGAGAAAGUGAAGGAAGUGGAGUUCUUUGCAAGCCGAGACAAGGCUUCGAUAGCGAGAACGUUGAAGCAG